UAGGGAAUAUUGCUUAAUGUGCGAAAGCGCGAAGCAGCAACGCCGCGUGUGCGAUGAAGGCCUUCGGGUCGUAAAGCACUUUUUAGAGGGAUGAGAAAGGACAGUACCUCUAGAAUAAGCCUCGGCUAACUACGUGCCAGCAGCCGCGGUAAAACGUAGGAGGCGAGCGUUAUCCGGAAUUACUGGGCGUAAAGCGCGUGCAGGCGGUUCGGUUAGUUGGAUGUGAAAGCUCCUGGCUUAACUGGGAGAGGUCGUUCAAUACUGCCGGACUUGAGAGUGGUAGAGGGAGAUGGAAUUCCGCAUGUAGUGGUGAAAUGCGUAGAUAUGCGGAGGAACACCAGUGGCGAAAGCGGUCUCCUGGCCCACUUCUGACGCUCAGACGCGAAAGCUAGGGUAGCAAACG
rnacentral:rRNA from 1 species